AUAGUUUGAUCAUGGCUCAGGACGAACGCUGGCGGCGUGCCUAACACAUGCAAGUCGAGCGGAGACAGUGAGUAGCUUGCUAUGAGCUGUUUUAGCGGCGGACGGGUGAGUAACGCGUGAGCAACCUUUCCCAGACAGGGGAAUAACACACCGAAAGGUGUACUAAUACCGCAUAAGACCACGGAAUCACAUGGUUCUGAGGUAAAGGAUUUAUCGGUUUGGGGUGGGCUCGCGUCCGAUUAGGUAGUUGGUG
rnacentral:rRNA from 1 species